rnacentral:rRNA from 1 species
GAUGAACGCUGACAGAAUGCUUAACACAUGCAAGUCGAUGGGGAAGUGGUGCUUGCACCAUGGCAACCAUGGCGGACGGGUGAGUAACGCGUAAGGGACUUACCUGCAGGACUGGGAUAACAGGGGGAAACUCCUGACAAGACCGGAUAAUGUCAUGGAGCUGCAUGGCUUUAUGAUGAAAGGAGACGCCUGCGGAGAGCCUUGCGUCCGAUUAGCUAGUUGGUGAGGUAAUGGGUCACCAAGGCGAAGAUAGGUAGCCGGCCUGAGCGGGUGGACGGCCACAAGGGGACUGAGAUACGGCCCUUACUCCUACGGGAGGCAGCAGUGGGGAAUAUUGGACAAUGGGGGCAACCCUGAACCAGCAAUUCUGUGUGCACGAAGAAGGUUUUCGGAUUGUAAAGUGCUUUCAGCAGGGAAGAAGUAAGUGACGGUACCUGCAGAAGAAGCGACGGCUAACUACGUG